rnacentral:rRNA from 1 species
UGGGGAAUAUUGCACAAUGGAGGGAACUCUGAUGCAGCGACGCCGCGUGAACGAAGAAGGCUUUCGAGUCGUAAAGUUCUUUGAUAUGGGAAGAUAAUGACGGUACCAUAAGAAAAAGCCCCGGCUAACUACGUGCCAGCAGCCGCGGUAAUACGUAGGGGGCUAGCGUUGUCCGGAAUCACUGGGCGUAAAGGGUUCGCAGGCGGAAAUGCAAGUCAGGUGUAAAAGGCAGUAGCUUAACUACUGUAAGCAUUUGAAACUGCAUAUCUUGAGAAGAGUAGAGGUAAGUGGAAUUUUUAGUGUAGCGGUGAAAUGCGUAGAUAUUAAAAAGAAUACCGGUGGCGAAGGCGACUUACUGGGCUCAUUCUGACGCUGAGGAACGAAAGCGUGGGUAGCAAACAGG